rnacentral:rRNA from 1 species
AACUGAAGAGUUUGAUCAUGGCUCAGAUUGAACGCUGGCGGCAGGCUUAACACAUGCAAGUCGAGCGGGGGAAGGUAGCUUGCUACUGGACCUAGCGGCGGACGGGUGAGUAAUGCUUAGGAAUCUGCCUA